UGAGGAAUAUUGGUCAAUGGGCGAGAGCCUGAACCAGCCAAGUAGCGUGCAGGAAGACGGCCCUACGGGUUGUAAACUGCUUUUAUGAAGGAAUAAAGUCACCCACGUGUGGGUGUUUGCAUGUACUUUAUGAAUAAGGACCGGCUAAUUCCGUGCCAGCAGCCGCGGUAAUACGGAAGGUCCGGGCGUUAUCCGGAUUUAUUGGGUUUAAAGGGAGCGUAGGCCGCUGUUUAAGCGUGUUGUGAAAAACCGGGGCUCAACUCCGGUCGUGCAGCGCGAACUGGACGGCUUGAGUGCGCGGUAAGUGGGCGGAAUUUGUGGUGUAGCGGUGAAAUGCUUAGAUAUCACGAAGAACUCCGAUUGCGAAGGCAGCUCACUGUAGCGCAACUGACGCUGAAGCUCGAAAGUGCGGGUAUCGAAUAGGAUUAGAUACCCUGGUAGU
rnacentral:rRNA from 1 species